ensembl:miRNA
AUUGGGUUGGCCAGAAAGUUCAUUCAGGUUUUUCUUUAACAGCUUGCUGAAAAACCGGAAUGAACUUUUUGGUCAACCCAA